CCUACGGGAGGCAGCAGUGAGGAAUAUUGGUCAAUGGGAGGAAUCCUGAACCAGCCAUGCCGCGUGCAGGACGACGGCUCUACGAGUUGUAAGCUGCUUUUGUACCGGGGUAAACUGCCUUGCGUGUAUGUUUUUGAAAGUACGUUACGAGUAAGGAUCGGCUAACUCCGUGCCAGCAGCCGCGGUAAUACGGAGGAUCCGAGCGUUAUCCGGAUUCAUUGGGUUUAAAGGGUGCGUAGGUUGUGUGAUAAGUUAGCGGUGAAAUACCGAGGCUCAACAUCGGGGCUGCCGCUAAUACUGUAGGACUAGAGAGCGGAUGCAGAAGGCGGAAUGUGUAGUGUAGCGGUGAAAUGCAUAGAGAUUACACAGAACACCGAUUGCGAAGGCAGCUUGCUAGGCCGGAUCUGACACUGAUGCACGAAAGCGUGGGGAGCGAACAGGAUUAGAUACCCGUGUAGUC
rnacentral:rRNA from 1 species